GACGAACGCUGGCGGCGUGCUUAACACAUGCAAGUCGAACGGAAAGGCCCUGCUUUUGUGGGGUGCUCGAGUGGCGAACGGGUGAGUAACACGUGAGUAACCUGCCCUUGACUUUGGGAUAACUUCAGGAAACUGGGGCUAAUACCGGAUAGGAGCUCCUGCUGCAUGGUGGGGGUUGGAAAGUUUCGGCGGUUGGGGAUGGACUCGCGGCUUAUCAGCUUGUUGGUGGGGUAGUGGCUUACCAAGGCUUUGACGGGUAGCCGGCCUGAGAGGGUGACCGGCCACAUUGGGACUGAGAUACGGCCCAGACUCCUACGGGAGGCAGCAGUGGGGAAUAUUGCACAAUGGGCGGAGGCAUGAUGCAGCAACGCCGCGUGCGGGAUGACGGCCUUCGGGUUGUAAACCGCUUUCGCCUGUGACGAAGCGUGAGUGACGGUAAUGGGUAAAGAAGCACCGGCUAACUACGU
rnacentral:rRNA from 1 species